GCAAGUCGAACGAAAAGGUAACUUUGGUUACUGGAUUCGUGGCGGACGGGUGAGUAAUACAUAGAAAUCUACCGAGCAGUGGGGGAUAACAGUUGGAAACGACUGAUAAUACCGCAUACGCCACAUUGGGAAAACUAAGGUGGUGUUCGAUGAGUCUAUGCCGGAUUAGCUAGUUGGUAGGGUAAAGGCCUACCAAGGCGACGAUCUGUAGCUGGUUUGAGAGGAUGAUC
rnacentral:rRNA from 1 species